AAAUCGACCGAAAGAAAUUAGAGCUAAUACGCAAAGUCGGGGAUCAUAAAAACGGACCAAAAGAACUUAGAGCUAAUACGCAAAGUCGGGGAUCUUAAAACCGACGGAAAGAAAUUAGAGCUAAUACGCAAAGUGGGGGAUCAUAAAAACGGACAGAAAGAACUUAGAGCUAAUACGCAAAGUCGGGGAUCAUAAAAACGAACAUAAAGAACUUAGAGCUAAUAUGCAAAGUCGGAGAUCAAAAAAACGACCGAAAGAACUUAGAGCUAAUUCGCAAAGUCGGGGAUCAUAAAAACGAACGAAAGAACUUAGAGCUAAUACGCAAAGUCGGGGAUCAUAAAAUUGGACUGAAAGAACUUAGAGCUAAUACGAAAAGUCGGGGAUCAUACAAACAGACCGACAGAACUUAGAGCUAAAAUGCAAAAUCGGGGAUCAUAAAAACGGACCGAAAGAACUUAGAGCUAAU
rnacentral:lncRNA from 1 species